UACAGAGGGGGCAAGCGUUGUUCGGAAUUACUGGGCGUAAAGGGCGCGUAGGCGGCCUGUUAAGUCGAACGUGAAAUCCCCGGGCUCAACCCGGGAACUGCGUCCGAUACUGGCAGGCUUGAAUCCGGGAGAGGGAUGCGGAAUUCCAGGUGUAGCGGUGAAAUGCGUAGAUAUGUGGAGGAACACCGAUGGCGAAGGCAGCCCCCUGGGUCAAGACUGACGCUCAUGCACGAAAGCGUGGGGAGCAAACAGG
rnacentral:rRNA from 1 species